GUUGUAUUCCAGGCUCUUGACUAAAAUUUAGUUAAUCUGGGGAGUCCCCAACUUUGUACCAAAAACAAGCUAAAUUAAAUAGACGCGUCGGCCCCAGGAGUUGUUCAGCAGACAGAAGUCCCAGCUAAUCAUGUCUGUAUCCAUCAGCGAGCAUUGCAUCUUCUGCCAUUAAGAUGAAAUGGGGUUGCAUCGACGAUGACCGAUAUCGGACCGUACAUCACGAUGGCAUAAGCCAAGGAGUUUUCAUUUCAACAUGUGCGAGUUGGAAACAGCGUUGCCCAAGGCGUGCAUCAUACGAUUCCUCUGGUUCUUGACAGGCGAAACGACACCCUUCGCAUGCCAGUCAAUCUCGGCCGGAAUUCCAAGAAUAUGCUGCGAAGGCUCAAUGACUUCACUGUAUGUUGAAGUUGAUUAGCAUAAUUGCUUGGAAUCCGUUUAGCAGCAGGUCAGUGAAUUGAUUCACUGCCACCUCGAGGGCCUCCUCGGCAGCAGCGUAGGCUGCAUUGUGCUAGUGUUGCUCUUGAAUAUCUGCUUACGUAGCUGAUCCUCGCUGCUAUCUGCGUAACCCUUCUCGAACUCAACCUUGAAGGAAUCGAACUCUGCAUCAAGCACAUCCUGGUAGCUGAUGGCUACCAUGCAACCAACGAUGGAAACCAGCACGGAAAUUGCAAUUACCACUUUCAUGUUCAACGUUGAUCCGUUUGAUUUAUAUGAUUUGGAUUUGUCCUGCAAAAAUUUAAAAGUGCAAAUGAGGCAUAUGUUACGUUCACCUCCGCCCACAAAUGCCGCCGCCACUAAAAAUUUGAAAUGGAUAUAUCAUCUGCAGCUCUUAAGUUAGUGCCUGCACCCAUAAACGCCAAAGUCGAUAUUUUUUGAAAGUCUUCAAGGCUCCAGCUUUAAGGGUGUCGAAAAAAGCUGUCAUCAUACGGACGGACAGUCGGACAUUGCACAAAACCAGAGUAUAGUGGUGGCUUCGGUAUCAAAGCAUAACAACUACUACACAAUGUAUAUUUUUAACAACUCAUAAAGCGAGCAUAUAUUUCUUCAAUUAGAGAUUGAGCUACCAAAUUUUUAAAA